GAAUAUUUUAUUGAGCAUGGUCUCAAUUGAGGUUAUAUAUUUUAUUGAGCAUGGUCUCAAUUGAGGUUAUAUAUUUUAUUGAGCAUGGUCUCAUUAGAAGUUAAAUAUUUUAUUGAGCAUGGUCUCAUUAGAAGUUAUAUAUAUUAUUGAGCAAGGUCUCACAAGUUAUCAAGUUAUUGAGCAAGGUCUCAUAAGUUAAAGUUAUUGAGCAAGGUCUCACAAGUAGUUUAAUCAUUGAGCAAGGACUCAAUUGAUUGGAUCAUGGAUCCUUAAGAAAGUAAGAAAAAGGACUCAUGGAGUCAUUAAAGUAAUAAGAUGAGCAAGGUCUCAAAGAAUUUAGAAUUGAGUUAAUUAUGGUGUUUGUUGCAUUCACUUGUUAAAGAAAGAUAAGAAAUUGAUUUAUUUGCUAGAUGUAUUAUUGUGAUUGUGUCUCACAUAAUGGGCUUUGGCAAUAAAACUCUUGGGAUGGAUCCCCCAUGAGUAUUGAACAUAAGGGGGGAGUUAGUGUGAAACUAUACUCCUGCAUAUAGCUUAGCAUGACGAUGUUAAUGCUUUUAUUUUAUCAAGCAAGUUUAUGGAAUUCCAAUUAUCAAGAUCUUUGAGUGGACUAGGUGUCACUCGUAUUCUUUAUCUCUGAGAUGUUGAGUCUAGAGGCUCACUCUCACCCUCGUUCAUUACUAACAAGCUUAAAUUUCUCGAGUCAAGUUAUUUAAAGUUCAUGGAACUUUAGUAAGAGGUGUGGGAUCUCUUACACAAGAAAUAGUAGCCCGUAUGACUCCAAGAGGAGGACGGUGCCCGUUCAUUGCCAAAUAAUAAUAAAAGAAAGUAUUUAGUAAGUUCAGUUAUAUGCUUGUUGCAUGUAGAGUCAUAAGAAGAGCAAGCCGAAGUGAUUGAGGAUUGCAUGCAUUAUUAUUCGCAUUAGUUGUUGUGUUAUGUACUCAGCGUUGCUGAUGUAUGUGUUCUUGUUUUCUUUUGGUUGUUGUUUUUCCUCAACAACCCUGUGAUGAUCCAUUUGGUGAGCAGAGUUUAGAGAAGAAGUUGCAGGUACAAGUUCUUGAUGUGCAUGGAAAUCAUAAGCAUCCGGAUGGGAGUUUUCAGUGCACGAGUACUUUAUUAUUUAAGUUAUCUUAAAUUUUAUAUUUGACUAUACUUGACCAAUGGGGUCAAGGUUUGACUUUUGAAGAUGGGACUAGUAUGGGAUAGUCUCGGAGUUUGUAAUUCAUUUACAUACUUUCUUAUUUCUAUUGUAUUAAAGUAUUUUCAGUUUAUUUUAAAAGACUUCCGCUGUAUUAUCUGAUUA